UCCGUGUUAACCACGGCAGUCUCUCUAGAGUGCCCAACUGAAUGCUGGCAACUAAAGACAAGGGUUGCGCUCGUUGCGGGACUUAACCCAACAUGUCACCACACGAGCUGACGACAGCCAUGCAGCACCUGUCUCCCGGCUGUAUUGCUACAGAAGCCGUAUUUCUACGGAUGUCCGGGGAUGUCAAACCCAGGUAAGGUUUUGCGCGUUGCUUCGAAUUAAACCACAUGAUCCACCGCUUGUGCGGGCCCCCGUCAAUUCCUUUGAGUUUUAAUCUUGCGACCGUACUCCCCAGGCGGAUGACUUCACGCGCUAGCUGCGUUACUAAAGGAUUUAACUCCUCCAACAACUAGUCAUCAUCGUUUAGGGCGUGGACUAC
rnacentral:misc_RNA from 1 species